UUCAAGGUCACCAUCUGCAAAUUGAUCCCAUCCUGGAAGAAGUCCAAACUAGUGGACCAACUUGUACUCCAUUCUCCGCCUUCUCCAAUUACAUCUGUACAUCGAUCGCUAUCAUAAUAGAAAAUUGAGGAUGAGUACCACUGGCAGAGACCAUCCAAUUCGGCACAAACAUAAACAGAUUCAUCUCAUCUCUUUCCCCAAAACUGAUCGAGCUUCCAUUGUAAACUUCUCACCAUAAGCAAUAGAGGGGGCACAUAUUUCAGAGGCGCCAAGGAACACGAAAGCGCAGAGGGGGCAUCAGUGAGAUUCCAGCUUGUUGGUUCAUCAGUGUGAAAAAUGGAGAAAACAACAGAAAUGAUAGAUUCAAAGGAGAAUAGCUGGAGAGAUCUUGCAUCAAUAUAUUUCAGUGCAGAAAUGUUUUUGGUACUUCUGUGGCUUGUAGCAUCACUAGUAUUUCUUCCACUGGUUCUGCCUCCAAUGCCCCCACCUCCAAUUUUGCUGUUGCUGCUUCCUGUUGGCGUACUACUAGUUCUGCUGAUUUUAGCCUUGUUACCCUCUGACGCGAAGAGCAUCACCUUCUCUUACAUGUAGAUAACACGGUUAUGUUUAAUCCUGCUUUUAAACAUUAUUAGAUAUUAAUGAUGAUCCUGUCAUAAAAUUGGAGAGAUAGGACACUGGGUUCGUGGCUGCAAGGUUGAAUGAAGACUUCAGAUAGGGGAAGACACUCGAGAGCAGACAAAUAUCAAUGCUAAAAAUCAAGGAAGUAGUCCCUGAUGAAGGUCUUUCCCACUCAAGUCAAUGUAAUACCCGAUCAGAAAAUUAAACAGUUGCCAUGUAGCAGAGCGUGUCAAGGCAUAUUCAAGGGUAAAACGUCUCAAAAGCAUACUUUGCCAUCGAAGAGGACCCCCCUUUAUAUACCACAUCUCAUAACCUUCGUAAUCAUGAGGUGACAGAGAAUGUCAGUGUCAGAAGUUGUCAAGUAAAAGAAUAUGUAUUUUGGUAGGCGUAUAGUUACCAUCCGAGGAAUCUUCCAUGUGUACCCUUUUUGUAACUGAUGUUAUUAAUAAUACAGUUGAAGGUGUUGGAUCGUA